rnacentral:rRNA from 1 species
AUUAAAAACCAAUGCCCUUCGGGGCUCUCUGGUGAUUCAUAAUAACUUCUCGAAUCGCACGGCCUUGCGCCGGCGAUGGUUCAUUCAAAUUUCUGCCCUAUCAACUUUCGACGGCUGGGUCUUGGCCAGCCGUGGUGACAACGGGUAACGGAGGGUUAGGGCUCGACCCCGGAGAAGGAGCCUGAGAAACGGCUACUACAUCCAAGGAAGGCAGCAGGCGCGCAAAUUACCCAAUCCCGACACGGGGAGGUAGUGACAAUAAAUACUGAUACAGGGCUCUUUCGGGUCUUGUAAUUGGAAUGAGUACAAUUUAAAUCCCUUAACGAGGAACAAUUGGAGGGCAAGUCUGGUGCCAGCAGCCGCGGUAAUUCAGCUCCAAUAGCGUAUAUUAAAGUUGUUGAGGUUAAAAAGCUCGUAGUUGAACCUUGGGCCUAGCCGGCCGGUCCGCCUCACCGCGUGCACUGGCUCGGCUGGGUCUUUCCUUCUGGAGAACCGCAUGCCCUUCACUGGGUGUGCC